rnacentral:sRNA from 1 species
GUAUAGCCCCGAUGGAAGCGGCAUCUUUUAUGAGUUCUCGAUACAUUUUGUUUCGUCACUUCGAGUUUUCGCAAGAAAGUAUCGAGAAGCGAAACAAAAAACUCAAACUGACGAAUAAAAAUACAGCGGACAGCGGGACAAUUA